ensembl:piRNA 21ur-2657 ncRNA
UCAAGGAACUAACGUUGGGAC